rnacentral:tRNA from 1 species
GCCCUGGUGGUGUAGAUUCAAAACAUAGAGGUCUAGCAACCCUCCCGACCCGGGUUCGAAUCCCGGCCAGGGCG